AUGACUCACCAUUCUUCUUCAUUAAAUUCUCUGCCACAAUCUACCACAAUUUUAACGCAAGCUUUGCCCCUAACUGCCUCAACUAUCCUGCCAGAAACUACAAUAACUUUACCACCAACAAUCAAAGCUUCAUCACCAAAUACUACGACCCACAAACCAACUACUACAACUGUGCUGCGAACAACUACAACUUCACCAGCAACUACAACAACAAUACCACCAACUACUACAACUUUACCACCAACUACCACGACACCAACAACUUUAACAACUUCACCACCAACUAAUGCCACUUUACCACCAACUAAGGCCACUUUACCACCAACUACCAUGACUUCAAUGCCAGCAACUACAGAAAUUUCCCCACCAACUAAUGCAACCUCACCACCAACUACUUCAAGUUUCCUGCCAACAACUAAAACAACUUCAGCACCAACUACCACAGAUUUGCCCCCAAGUACCACAAAUUCACCAGCAACAACUACAACAACUUCAUCACCAAAUGCUACGACCCCCGAACCAACUACUACAACUGUGCUGCCAACAACUACAACUUCACCAGAAACGACAACAACAAUACCACUAACUACUACAACUUUACCACCAACUACCAUGACACCAACAACUACAACAACUUCAUCACCAACUACUACAACCCCCGAACCAACUACUACAACUGUGCUGCCAACAACGACAACUUCACCAGCAACUACAACAACAAUACCAGCAACUACUACAACUUUACCACCAACUACCACGACACCAACAACUUUAACAACUUCACCACCAACAAAUGCCACUUUACCACCAACUAAUGCAACUUUACCACCAACUACCGUGACUUCAAUGCCAGCAACUACAGAAAUUUCCCCACCAACUAAUGCAACCUCACCACCAACUACUUCAAGUUUCCUGCCAACAACUAAAACAACUUCAGCACCAACUACCACAGAUUUUCCCCCAAGUACCACAAAUUCACCAGCAACAACUACAACAACUUCAUCACCAAAUGCUACGACCCCCGAACCAACUACUACAACUGUGCUGCCAACAACUACAACCUCACCAGCAACUACAACAACAAUACCACUAACUACUACAACUUUACCACCAACUACCAUGACACCAACAACUACAACAACUUCACCACCAACUACUACAACCCCAGAACCAACUACUACAACUGUGCUGCCAACAACGACAACUUCACCAGCAACUACAACAACAAUACCAGCAACUACUACAACUUUACCACCAACUACCACGACACCAACAACUUUAACAACUUCACCACCAACAAAUGCCACUUUACCACCAACUAAUGCAACUUUACCACCAACUACCAUGACUUCAAUGCCAGCAACUACAGAAAUUUCCCCACCAACUAAUGCAACCUCACCACCAACUACUCCAAGUUUCCUGCCAACAACUAAAACAACUUCAGCACCAACUACCACAGAUUUGCCCCCAAGUACCACAAAUUCACCAGCAACAACUACAACAACUUCAUCACCAAAUGCUACGACCCCCGAACCAACUACUACAACUGUGCUGCCAACAACUACAACUUCACCAGCAACUACAACAACAAUACCACCAACUACUACAACUUUACCACCAACUACCACGACACCAACAACUUUAAAAACUUCACCACCAACUAAUGCCACUUUACCACUAACUAAUGCAACUUUACCACCAACUACCAUGACUUCAAUGCCAGCAACUACAGAAAUUUCCCCACCAACUAAUGCAACCUCACCACCAACUACUUCAAGUUUCCUGCCAACAACUAAAACAACUUCAGCACCAACUACCACAGAUUUUCCCCCAAGUACCACAAAUUCACCAGCAACAACUACAACAACUUCAUCACCAACUACUACAACCCCAGAACCAACUACUACAACUGUGCUGCCAACAACUACAACUUCACCAGCAACUACAAUAACAAUACCACUAACUACUACAACUUUACCACCAACUACCAUGACACCAACAACUACAACAACUUCAUCACCAACUACUACAACCCCCGAACCAACUACUACAACUGUGCUGCCAACAACGACAACUUCACCAGCAACUACAACAACAAUACCACCAACUACUACAACUUUACCACCAACUACCACGACACCAACAACUUUAAAAACUUCACCACCAACUAAUGCCACUUUACCACCAACUAAUGCAACUUUACCACCAACUACCAUGACUUCAAUGCCAGCAACUACAGAAAUUUCCCCACCAACUAAUGCAACCUCACCACCAACUACUCCAAGUUUCCUGCCAACAACUAAAACAACUUCAGCACCAACUACCACAGAUUUGCCCCCAAGUACCACAAAUUCACCAGCAACAACUACAACAACUUCAUCACCAAAUGCUACGACCCCCGAACCAACUACUACAACUGUGCUGCCAACAACUACAACCUCACCAGCAACUACAACAACAAUACCACCAACUACUACAACUUUACCACCAACUACCAUGACACCAACAACUACAACAACUUCACCACCAACUACUACAACCCCAGAACCAACUACUACAACUGUGCUGCCAACAACUACAACUUCACCAGCAACUACAAUAACAAUACCACCAACUACUACAACUUUACCACCAACAACUUUAACAACUUCACCACCAACUAAUGCAACUUUACCACUAACUACCACAACUUCAAUGCCAACAACUACAACAACUUCACCACCAACUAAUGCUACUUUACCACCAACUAAUGCAACUUUACAACCAAAAACCACGACUUCGACGCCAACAGCUACCACAACUUCACCACCAACUACUACGACACCCGAACCAACUACUACAACUUUUCUUCCAACAACGACCUUAACUUCACCCCCAACAACUACCACAACUGUCCUGCCAACACCUACAACUUCACCAGCAACUGCAACAACAAUACCACCAACUACCACAACUUUAAAACCAACAACUACAACAACUUCACCACCAACUAAUGCAAAUUCACCACCAACUAAUGCAACUUUACAACUAGUAACCACGACUUCAACACCAACAACUACAACAACUUCACCACCAACUAAUGCAACUUUACCACCAACUACCACGACUUUAACGCCAACAACUAUAACAACUUUACCACUAACCACUACAAGAGCUUCACUACCAACUACCACAAUUUCACCAACAACUACAACUUCACCACCAACAACUACCAAAACUUCACAACCAAACAUCACUAACAAAGAGUCAACAAGUCCAGGUUCUGAGGUAUUUUCUCAUGUAGGUCUACAAAUAAGGAUGACUUCCAUAGAGGAUGUCAGUCGUGAGGACAUAGAGAUCUACAUACAAGAUUUCAUCAGUGAUUUCCUGAGAGAAAAAGGCCUUAUCUUCAAUGUCAAUGUAACAAAGGUUGCAAAUAUGUAAACAGAGUUGCAGUAUUUAAAUGGUGGUGUUUAUGGGCGUUGAGUUUACAAAAACUGAUUGAGGAACUGGUUUUUUUUGUCCGUCUCAUUCACUCACUGCCUUAAGCCAUCUGCACGCAUGAUUUCUUCUUACCAGGUGUCAGAGUAUUAGAUUCCUGUUAGGUUAUAGUGAUGAAUCACAGAACUACCUAAAUGUUUUUCAUAAUCAGAUGUGAAAAUAAGAGACACUUUUCAAUGUAGUUCUAAUCUUUGAUUUGUAUGUUUUUGUGCUCUACAUCUAUUAUUUAUCGAUUGUCCAAUGGUUUCCUAUUUUUAGAGUUCAGAGAGAGGCAAAAUUAAAAGGCACAGGAUGAGUCCCACUGUGGUUAUGUACAGAACUUCAAAUGUGACACACUUUUUUUUUACUAACAUUUGUGUAUCUGACAUGUCUGACAUCAUUAAAAAAGAGGAUAAUGGAUUGGCAUCAUCAGUAUGUUUUGUAUUGUUUGUCUUUAUGACUUGUUUUUCCAUUGAGUGUGCACCAUUUACUCUUUAUUCAGCAUGUAAAAAAAACAAGACAAAACUGAAAUCUAUUAAAAGAAAACAUAUUACACCACUAAUAUUGUACUAUGAUG
ensembl:lncRNA mucin-5AC-like